rnacentral:rRNA from 1 species
GAAUUCGCCCUUCUGGUUGAUCCUGCCAGAGGUCACUGCUAUCGGUGUUCGACUAAGCCAUGCGAGUCAAAUGUUCUUCGUGAACAUGGCGUACUGCUCANUAACACGUGGAUAACCUGCCCUUAGGACUGGCAUAACCCCGGGAAACUGGGGAUAAUUCCGGAUAGUUCAUGGUAGCUGGAAUGCUCCAUGAUCGAAAGCUAUUGCGCCUAAGGAUGGGUCUGCGGUCUAUCAGGUAGUAGUGGGUGUAAUGUACCUACUAGCCGACGACGGAUACGGGUUGUGGGAGCAAGAGCCCGGAGAUGGAUUCUGAGACAUGAAUCCAGGCCCUACGGGGCGCAGCAGGCGCGAAAACUUUACAAUGCGGGAAACCGCGAUAAGGGGACACCGAGUGCCAGCAUCUUAUGUUGGCUGUCCGCAUGUAUAAAUCACAUGUGUUAGCAAGGGCCGGGCAAGACCGGUGCCAGCCGCCGCGGUAACACCGGCGGCCCGAGUGGUGGCCACUAUUAUUGGGUCUAAAGGGUCCGUAGCCGGUUUGGUCAGUCUUCCGGGAAAUCUGACGGCUUAACCGUUAGGCUUUCGGGGGAUACUACC